rnacentral:tRNA from 1 species
GGCAGUGUAGCACAGUGGUAAGGUGCAGGGCUUGUAACCGAAAGGUUUCCGGUUUGAUUCCCCACUUGGGCACUGCUG